rnacentral:rRNA from 1 species
GACGAACGCUGGCGGCGUGCUUAACACAUGCAAGUCGAACGGAGAGGGCCUGCUUGCAUGGUGCUCGAGUGGCCAACGAGUGGGUAACUCGUGGGUGAUCUGCCCUGCACUUCGGGAUAAGCUUGGUAAACUGGGUCUAGUAACGGAUACGAGCCAACUUUAGAGUGGUGGUUGGAGAGUGUUGUCGGUAUAGGUUGAGCUCGCGGCCUAUCAGCUUGUAGGUGGGGUAAUUGCCUACAAAGGCGGCGACGGUUAGCCGGCCUGAGAGGGAGUAAGGCCACAUAGGGCCUGAGAUGCGGCCAAGAGUGAUACGUGAGGCAGCAGUGGGAAUUAUUCCACAAUGGGCGGAAGCCGGAUGCAGCGACUCCGCGUGGUAGAUGAAUGCUUGCGGGUUGUAAACUCCUUUCGAUAGGGAAGAAGCUUAUUGUGACGGUACCUAGAUAAGAAGCACCGGCUAACUACGU